rnacentral:rRNA from 1 species
CAAUAGCGUAUAUUAAAGUUGUUGCGGUUAAAAAGCUCGUAGUUGGAUUUCUGCUUGGGGCAACCGGUCCGCCCUCUGGGUGAGUAUCUGGCUUGGCCCGGGCAUCUUCUUGGGGAACGUUACUGCACUUGACUGUGUGGUGCGGAGCCCAGGACCUUUACUUUGAGGAAAUUAGAGUGUUUCAAGCAGGCAUACGCCUUGAAUACAUUAGCAUGGAAUAAUAAGAUAGGACCUCGGUUCUAUUUUGUUGGUUUCUAGAACUGAGGUAAUGAUUAAUAGGGAUAGUGGGGGCAUUCAUAUUUCAUUGUCAGAGGUGAAAUUCUUGGAUUUAUGAAAGAUGAACUUCUGCGAAAGCAUUUGCCAAGGAUGUUUUCAUUAAUCAAGAACGAAAGUUAGGGGAUCGAAGACGAUUAGAUACCA